rnacentral:lncRNA from 1 species
UCGGAGGAUCGAGUGCGAGCGAUUUUCGGGAUUUGCGAGUUAUCGAGAUACGCGAGGUAAGUCUUCUCACUCUACGUUACUUGAGUGGUAGUAUUGUGUGACCGGAGGGUCGUAUGUGCUUACAUUGAGUAUUAUGUUAUGCGAGCGAUUUUCGGGAUUUGCGAGUUAUCGAGAUACGCGAGGUAAGUCUUCUCACUCUACGUUACUUGAGUGGUAGUAUUGUGUGACCGGAGGGUCGUAUGUGCUUACAUUGAGUAUUAUGUUAUCCUAUUGUAUGUGACAUGCUAUGCAUUAUGUCUUUGUGAUUUAUGCUAUGCGGAGUUAUAGACCGGAACGGAGGGUCCA